GACGAACGCUGGCGGCGCGCUUAACACAUGCAAGUCGAGCGAGAACCGGGGCUUCGGCCCCGGGGACAGCGGCGAACGGGUGAGUAACACGUGAGUAACCUGCCCUCGGCACCGGAAUAGCCCGGGGAAACUCGGAUUAAUGCCGGAUAGCCCCUCUGCCCUGCGGGGCGGCGGGAAAAGGUAGCUUCGGCCCCUGGCCGAGGAUGGGCUCGCGGCGGAUUAGCUUGUUGGCGGGGUAACGGCCCACCAAGGCGACGAUCCGUAGCUGGUCUGAGAGGACGAUCAGCCACACUGGGACUGAGACACGGCCCAGACUCCUACGGGAGGCAGCAGUGGGGAAUCUUGCGCAAUGGGCGAAAGCCUGACGCAGCGACGCCGCGUGCGGGAAGAAGGCCUUCGGGUUGUAAACCGCUUUCAGGAGGGACGAAGCCACUCGGGUGAACAGCCCAGAGGGUGACGGUACCUCCAGAAGAAGCCCCGGCUAACUACGUGCCAGCCGCCGCCGUAACAC
rnacentral:rRNA from 1 species